AAAUAACUGACAAGUAAAUCCAAGGUAUUGAGCAGAAUAUUUGCUGUAGCCCAUCUUUUAUACCAAGACAAAACAAUGUACACGAUACCAAUUCCAGUCAGCUAAGAUCAGAAACCCUGAGAGCCACUGCAUAGUACUGCAUCAGGGAAUUUAUUAUUAUUAUU